AAGCUUACCAUGCAGUCUACUUGAUCCUUCGGGUGAAGGUGGCGGACGGGAUGAGUAACGCGUAAAGAACUUGCCUUACAGACUGGGACAACAUUUGGAAACGAAUGCUAAUACCGGAUAUUAUGACUGAGUCGCAUGAUUUGGUUAUGAAAGCUAUAUGCGCUGUGAGAGAGCUUUGCGUCCCAUUAGUUAGUUGGUGAGGUAACGGCUCACCAAGACGAUGAUGGGUAGCCGGCCUGAGAGGGUGAACGGCCACAAGGGGACUGAGACACGGCCCUUACUCCUACGGGAGGCAGCAGUGGGGAAUAUUGGACAAUGGACCAAAAGUCUGAUCCAGCAAUUCUGUGUGCACGAUGAAGUUUUUCGGAAUGUAAAGUGCUUUCAGUGGGGAAGAAGUCAGUGACGGUACCAACAGAAGAAGCGACGGCUAAAUACGUGCCAGCAGCCGCGGUAAUACGUAUGUCGCAAGCGUUAUCCGGAUUUAUUGGGCGUAAAGCGCGUCUAGGCGGUUUAGUAAGUCUGAUGUGAAAAUGCGGGGCUCAACCCCGUAUUGCGUUGGAAACUGUUAAACUAGAGUACUGGAGAGGUAGGCGGAACUACAAGUGUAGAGGUGAAAUUCGUAGAUAUUUGUAGGAAUGCCGAUGGGGAAGCCAGCCUACUGGACAGAUACUGACGCUAAAGCGCGAAAGCGUGGGUAGCAAACAGGAUUAGAUACCCUGGUAGUCCACGCCGUAAACGAUGAUUACUAGGUGUUGGGGGUCGAACCUCAGCGCCCAAGCUAACGCGAUAAGUAAUCCGCCUGGGGAGUACGUACGCAAGUAUGAAACUCAAAGGAAUUGACGGGGACCCGCACAAGCGGUGGAGCAUGUGGUUUAAUUCGACGCAACGCGAGGAACCUUACCAGCGUUUGACAUCCCAAGAAGUUAACAGAGAUGUUUUCGUGCCUCUUCGGAGGAACUUGGUGACAGGUGGUGCAUGGCUGUCGUCAGCUCGUGUCGUGAGAUGUUGGGUUAAGUCCCGCAACGAGCGCAACCCCUUUCGUAUGUUACCAUCAUUAAGUUGGGGACUCAUGCGAGACUGCCUGCGAUGAGCAGGAGGAAGGUGGGGAUGACGUCAAGUCAUCAUGCCCCUUAUACGCUGGGCUACACACGUGCUACAAUGGGUAGUACAGAGAGCUGCAAACCUGCGAGGGUAAGCUAAUCUCAUAAAACUAUUCUUAGUUCGGAUUGUACUCUGCAACUCGAGUACAUGAAGUUGGAAUCGCUAGUAAUCGCAAAUCAGCUAUGUUGCGGUGAAUACGUUCUCGGGUCUUGUACACACCGCCCGUCACACCAGCGAGAGUUGGUUGCACCUGAAGUAACAGGCCUAACCGUAAGGAGGGAUUUUCCANGGGU
rnacentral:rRNA from 1 species